UACGUAGGUGACAAGCGUUGUCCGGAUUUACUGGGCGUAAAGAGCGCGCAGGCGGUCGAUCAAGUCGAGUGUGAAAGCCCCCGGCUCAACUGGGGAGGGUCAUUCGAUACUGAUCGACUCGAAGGCAGGAGAGGGUAGUGGAAUUCCCAGUGUAGCGGUGAAAUGCGUAGAUAUUGGGAGGAACACCAGUGGCGAAGGCGGCUCACUGGACCGGUACUGACGCUGAUGCGCGAAAGCGUGGGGAGCAAACAGGG
rnacentral:rRNA from 1 species